GAUGAACGCUGGCGGCGUGCCUAAUACAUGCAAGUCGAGCGAACAGAUAAGGAGCUUGCUCCUUUGACGUUAGCGGCGGACGGGUGAGUAACACGUGGGUAACCUACCUAUAAGACUGGAAUAACUCCGGGAAACCGGGGCUAAUGCAGGAUAACAUGUUGAACCGCAUGGUUCUACAGUGAAAGGCGGCUUUGCUGUCACUUAUAGAUGGACCCGCGCCGUAUUAGCUAGUUGGUGAGGUAACGGCUCACCAAGGCAACGAUACGUAGCCGACCUGAGAGGGUGAUCGGCCACACUGGAACUGGGACACGGGCCAGACUCCUACGGGAGGCAGCAGUAGGGAAUCUUCCGCAAUGGGCGAAAGCCUGACGGAGCAACGCCGCGUGAGGGAUGAAGGGCUUCGGAUCGUAAAACUCUGUUAUUAGGGAAGAACAAAUGCGUAAGUAACUGUGCGCGUCUUGACGGUACCUAAUCAGAAAGCCACGGCUAACUACGUGC
rnacentral:rRNA from 1 species